GUACUUGCUUCCAAAGCACGUGCACACAAAUUGGAACAAUCCCGAGAUUAGCAUGACCCCUGUGCAAGGAUGACAUGCAUAUUUGUGAAGAGUACCAUAUUUUU